rnacentral:rRNA from 1 species
AUGGACGCCAACUGGCGGCCCACCCAAGGGUCUGGCCCCGCCGGCGGCGGCGGCGGCGGCGGCGCUGACCCGCCCCCCGCCGGAGGCGACUGGCGCGCCCAGCUCCAGCCCGAGGCGCGCGGCAGGAUCGUCGAUAAGAUAAUGGAGACUCUGAAGAAUCAUCUGCCAGUAUCUGUGCCUGUGACGCCAGAGGCACUGAACGAACUUCAAAAAAUCGCUGCGCGAUUCGAAGAAAAGGUCUAUACCGAAGCAACCAGUCAGUAUGAUUAUUUGCGGAAGAUUUCUGUGAAGUUGCUCUCAAUGGAGACGCAGAGACAGCAGGCUCCUGGAAAUGCUUUGCUGAUUCCAAAUCAAAACAACCCUGCCCCUGGACUCCAUCCACAAGGCAGUAAUCAAGCACAGACAUCAGCAGUUCCCUUGAUGUCUCAGCAACAGGCCCGGCAGCCAAAUGCUUCUACAUCUGUACAAGCUUCUUCACUCACUAAUAUCAGACAGAACUUGCCAGGUGUCAACCAAACAUCAAUGAUGCAGACUGCGUCUGUCAUUCCACAAAACACAAUGAAUAAUGGCUUGGCGCAAGGCACUUCACAAGAUGUUUAUGCUGCACAAAGGCAAAUGGCAGGCAGGCAGCAACAGGAACAAUCUCAGCAAUUAAUUUAUCACCAGCAUCAACAGCCUUCUCUGCAGAGUCAGCAGCCCAAUAUUCCUUUACAACAGCAGCAACAACAGUUGAUGGGACAACAGCCAAAUUUACAACAAAAUCAGCUAAUUGGUCAACAGAAUGGUGCUGUGAUGAUGCAGCAGCAACAGAGGCUAACAGUUCAGUCAAAUAAUCUUUUGAAUGUGCAGCAAACACAUCAGAUGUUGAACCAGCAGUAUAUGCCUUUGUAUCAGCCACAACAAUUGGGCUCUCAAGCAAAUAUGUUGAGUCUAAAGCAGCAUCAACAAAAUCAACAGCAGCAGCAACUUUUUGGAACUGUGCCUAAUGUGUCAAACAUGCAGUGGAUGCAUAUGCAACAAACAAAAGCUCAGCAACCACAGCAACAACAUGCUCAGCAGCCACCAAUGGGUUUGAUGCAACCUCAGUUUCAACACAAUCAACUUCAACAAUUGCAACAUCUUAUGCCACAGUUCCAGUCUCAGCCUAACCAACUACAAGAGCAAUUAAGGACGCAGCAGCAAUCCUCCAUGCAGCAAAGACUUCAAACUUCAGGAGCCAUGUUCUUGCAACAAAAUAACAUGGAUCAGCAAAACCAGUUUAUUCAGGCACAGAGGGGCCUUCAAGAAGUUUCCUCUAGUACAUCUGCGGACUAUACUGCUCAAACAGGCCAUGCAAGUGCAGGUGAUUGGCAAGAGGAGAUACAUCAAAUGAUUAAGAGGUUAAAGGACCAAUACUUUGCAGAACUCAGUGAAUUAUUCAAUAAGAUGUCUGUGAAGCUACAGCAUGUUGACAGCAUUAUUCCACCUCAAAUAUCAUCUGAGCAGUAUGAUAGAAUGAAGAGCUUUAAAAUAAUGUUGGAGCGCAUAUUACAAAUGCUGCAAAUUGGUAAAAGUAGUGUCCAACCUGCUAUGAGGGACAAAGUUCCUCGAUAUGAGAAACAGAUUAUCAGUAUCUUGAACUCAAAAAGGAAGCCAGUGCAGCCACAAAUACAACAACAAUUCCAGCCACCUCCAGGGAGAAGAGGGAGAGAGCUUACUGUGGUGGCUGAGGCAGAGGCACCCCACGAUCGAGUUGGGCAGGACCGUAUGGCGGUGAGGGUGGUCCGGGCACGCGUGACUAGCGAGGGUGACGACCGUGCAAGCAAGGCAAGGGCGAUGGGCAGCUAG